AUUGAACGCUGGCGGCAGGCUUAACACAUGCAAGUCGAACGAGUGGCGGACGGGUGAGUAAUGUCUGGGAAACUGCCCGAUGGAGGGGGAUAACUACUGGAAACGGUAGCUAAUACCGCAUACCAUCAGAGGGGCCGAGAUGGGAUUAGCUAGUUGGUGGGGGAAAGGCUCACCAAGGCAACGAUCCCUAGCUGGUCUGAGAGGAAGACCAGCCACACUGGAACUGAGACACGGUCCAGACUCCUACGGGAGGCAGCAGUGGGGAAUAUUGCACAAUGGGGGAAAGCCUGAUGCAGCCAUGCCGCGUGUGUGAAGAAGGCAUUCGGGUUGUAAAGCACUUUCAGCGAGGAGGCGUUACUCGCAGAAGAAGCACCGGCUAACUCCGUGCCAGCAGCCGCGGUAAUAC
rnacentral:rRNA from 1 species